UACGGGGGGGCAAGCGUUGUUCGGAAUUACUGGGCGUAAAGGGCUCGUAGGCGGCCAACUAAGUCGGAUGUGAAAUCCCCAGGCUCAACCUGGGAACUGCAUCCGAUACUGGAUGGCUUGAAUCCGGGAGAGGGAUGCAGAAUUCCAGGUGUAGCGGUGAAAUGCGUAGAUAUCUGGAGGAAUACCGGUGGCGAAGGCGGCAUCCUGGACCGGCAUUGACGCUGAGGAGCGAAAGCUAGGGGAGCAAACGGGG
rnacentral:rRNA from 1 species